UCGAGAAUCUUCGGCAAUGGACGCAAGUCUGACCGAGCGAUGCCGCGUGCGGGAUGAAGGCCUUCGGGUUGUAAACCGCUGUCAGUUGGGAGGAAAUUCUAUGGGGCUAUCUCCAUAGAUUGACCCAUCUUCAGAGGAAGGACGGGCUAAGUUCGUGCCAGCAGCCGCGGUAAGACGAACCGUCCAAACGUUAUUCGGAAUCACUGGGCUUAAAGGGUGCGUAGGCGGCCUUAUAAGUCGGGUGUGAAAUCCCACAGCUCAACUGUGGAACUGCGCCCGAUACUGUGAGGCUUGAGGAAGGCAGAGGUGAGCGGAACUGAUGGUGGAGCGGUGAAAUGCGUUGAUAUCAUCAGGAACACCCGUGGCGAAAGCGGCUCACUGGGCCUUUUCUGACGCUGAGGCACGAAAGCUAGGGGAGCGAACGGGAUUAGAUACCCCCGUAGUCC
rnacentral:rRNA from 1 species